AAACACAAUACAGUUAGUAACACUGCGCACCGCAGUUCAUACAUCUGUUUUGGUUUUUUUUUCACUGUUUGCCAACCUAUCUUGUCGAGUGUACACAAGGAUAAAAUUUUGCGCCAGGGCCACGAGUUUUUCGUUUCGAUCCGCUAUUGGUUGCUUCGAACAAAUUUCCAAUGAUCUCAACAGCGUGAUUUAUUGCAAAUCGCGUUUCUACGAUUCAUCACGUUCGUGCCAUAAGAAGCGUUAAGGUUAGUAAUGUCGCGCCAUCUCGGUUGCUUUAGCAACG